AUGGCACCGUACGCGUAUUGCGGAAAAGAGAGGGAGAGAAAUGGAGCUCGUCCUCCCGCACAUGCCGCCUCCUCAUCUCCCCCGCGCCGCCGCCGCCGCCCCCCGCGCCGCCUACUCGCCCUCAUCUCCUACCCGUCUGGCUCGUCGGAGCAGCGGCCGGCAGAGAGCUGCGGUGGUCCGCACUGGAGAAGCAGCAGCGGCCGACGGCGGCGGACACGAUGGCCGUCACGGGCAGAGCAGCGCGAACCCGGCGCGGCUGCCGGGCACCAUCUGGAGAGCCGGUGGCCGGUGGUGCGCGAUCUGGGCGAUUUGGAGGCGAGGCGACAAAGUUGACUAGGACGUCGACGGAAAUCUUCAUCGUGCCGCUUGGAGAGGUGCUCGUCCGGCUCGUCGACGAUCCCCUCUUCUCGACGGAUCCGCGAUGGAGGUGCUCGAGGAGGAGCUUCUUCUCUGGAUGCCAUGGAGAUCGUCAAGCGCCUGAGAUUACCGGCCCGAGCAAGGUGCCACCGAGCACUGCUCCUAGGUCCUCGCAGCUAAGACACAUACCCUCUACAGUUAGAUUGGUACAAUGAUCUCUGACUUGGUGACUUGUGCUACAUCUGAAUUUUGCAAGUAAUUGAAAAUCUGAUCUCUCCUGUUGUACUGCGAGCUAGAAAGGUGGGUAUCUUAAUUCAGAAUGUUAUUAGAAUCUUAUGGACUGCCAUUUACUUGCACAACAUAUGCAGUCAUCUUAUUUGAUCCUUCACUGUCAUAUCACGUCAGGCUGGGGGAAUUGUAACAGGAAAAAACCUGGGUUGUCUCUCCUGAUUGCAAUGAUUUUAGCCCACAAUUUUCAUUUGAUUGAUGUUCUGAAGUAGCUUACUCAAGUCCAGGUUCUCCAAUGAUGUGCAGAACUCUUGCAGGCACCUUUGUAAUUGCAAAAAUUAAGACAAGCUAUGAAGGGACCUUUUCUUGAUCCCUUCAUAGCUUGUCUUAAGUUUUGUUAUGAAUCUGUUCUUGCACUAAUAUCAUAUCAUCCUAAAUGUGAAACCCAGCUACAUGAACUAAAAUUUCUCAUAUCGAAAGAGUCGAGAAGGGAAGCUACUCAAUAUUAUGUUAGGCACUUUGUCAUGGUUCGUCCUCAGAAGCUUCUAUACAUCGCCAUUGGUAGCUGUUGACUGUUGCAAGGACACGAACCAUAUCACAGUUGCAAGAGAGAAUUCACUUAAGAUAUUAUCAUCGGGUUUGAAGGAAAGAUGUUGCAUGGCCCUCUUGUUUCAAUUGUGUCCUGGUAGUGAUUUAGAGGGCACUGACAUCAAAGGUAAUGAAUCUCCAUUUUGGUUUUUGGUAUUCUUCUCAGGUAUAUAAUAAAUUGUUCGGUUCCUCCAAUUUUCUUCUUGUUAUUUUUCUGAACACAGUCGCCCCUUCCCCAGUUCUGUAAGGAUAUGCGGUUUCUGUUGAUGACCUCGUGGUUGAUUGCAGCUUGACGGAACACAGUUUCAUCAAUAAAUAUGUCCGUGUUGCUACCCUGAGAGUUAGCUUGUUUGGUAGUUGACUCAUGAUAGUUCUUUUCCUUUUAAACUGUUUUUUGAUCAGUAGUUGAUAAACCAUGUGCAAGAUUGGGAGAUUAAAUAAAGAGCUAGGCUGAGGUUUCACCGCUCAGCCUAUCAGUUUGUGUUUGGCUGACAGAAACAAUAUUGUUUGGUUUAUACAAUGAUUACCUGACAAGUUCAUCUUCCUCUUUGCAAAUAUUACAUAAUAAGUAAUGGGACUGCUAUAUUUAAUUCUUUCAUGGCAAUCAGGCUAGGCACAUACAAGAGCGCACACCUCCGCCUUAGGAGUAAGAGGCGUGUGUCAUGUGUUUUAGUUUCUAAUAGAAACACAAAAUAUGUCUAUUUCGCUCGUUAGAUAAUUGUUUUUCAUUGUGUGCACGCGUUGCACACUCAUGUCAUGACCGUGAAUGGAAAUGCACAAAGCAAAUGCAUUAUGACCCGAUGUUGUAUUUUAUAGCACCUAUUGGUCUGGUAAGAUAUGCGUUGUUGCAAAUACAGAAAUCCAACACAAUAAUGUGCGGGAGAAUAGCGCCUCCUUGCGCAUUCCACCUCAUCGUUUUUUACUGUGCUAGCGAGAGAGAGAAAAACUGAGAGGGUAAAAAGGGGUGGACACUACCUAGCGGGGACGCAAUUGGGCGAGAGGAGGAGGCGCUUCUCCUGCUAGAUCCGUGGCCAUCACGUCGCCAUCGACAUCCACCCUCCUCAACAGAUCGAUCGACCGGACGUCGCCGUGAUGUCUCUCUUUGUUGCGGAUUCAUGUGUGUUGUAUGUUCAAUCCAACCCUUACUGCAGGGCCUAGCGAAGGGAAUGAAGAGGCACACCCUCAGCCACGACUCUGUCCUUCAGCUACAAAAGCUAGAUAGAUUGUAAUCAGUUGCGUGAUUGAAACAACAUUUAGGUCAUCACAAAGGGCUCAAAAUGUUAUUAAGCCAAACCAUUGAUUUUGUGUUAUUACAAUAUUAUGUAUUAGAGAUGUGAUGUGAUUCGCCAUGUCCAGCUCAUCCAUUUGUAUCUAAGUUCAACUGGCUAAAAAAGAAGCUAGAUUUGGUACAAGUGUUUUUUGGGAGAUAUGUCCAUGAUAAUCGUAGUAAUCUUAGUUCUUGGCCUUUCAUUUGGGAAAAAAGCUAGAUCUAUUCAUGAUAAUCGUAGUUCUUACCUUUCAUUAUUUACCUUUAGGUAUGCAAAGAGGUUGGCUUUGGUACAAGUCUUUUUUGGUAGAUUAGUUACACUGAAAUUCGAUAAACAUUUGCUGAAUAUACAGUAUCACAUGAAUCCUUGUAUUAGCUUGUUUCCAAAUGCUCAGAUUUAUGAGAGGAGGAUUUUAGAUGGUUCAAAUGUCCUGCCUCCUAGCUAUAACAAGGAUUAUACAUGCCUCUUGUUUGGCAGCUACACUCUUAUAAAUGACAGGAUGGAAGGGAAGACAAGGAGGGCACAGGAAACAGUCGACAAAACAUGGUUGAAGUUGUUGUUCUGCACCUCAUCCAAACCAUCUUUAGAUAAAUGCUCUUACUAUGCACUAGAAGGCGCAUCGAGAAGGCGCAGAUCUACUCGAUGCACGCUUCUGAUGGAUCGGUGCCUUCACCUCUUAUAGUUUGUUCACCACAUGAUAUGCCAAACACAAUUUUUGAUGGAAUCUGGAUGGUGUUGCACCUCGGCUUAGCGAUGAACAAGGCGGUGCGCUCAUGUUGUCUCCCUGGUAUGGCCCCUCUCACUUCUGCAGCAUUUAUCUCAACUUAUAAAUAUCCCGCGUUCUUAAGCUUUUGGCCAUACUCAAUUCUUUUACCUAUUUUCCAUGGAAACAUCCGAUCGGCAUAUCAGGGCUUGUUAAUCUUGCAAUGAGGCGCAGACCAAUGGGCACUACAGCAGUAUAAUGGGAGACAGAGGUCCUGAUAGAGUAUAAGUAGUUCAUUAAUUGAAUAUAUUCAGGGGUGAUAUGCCUUGCAUUAUGUUUGGCGCAUGCAUGUGUGGAACACUGUAUGUCCAGUUGCUGAUGAUAAAAAACCAAGGUAAUUGUAACUAAGCUAGAUGAACUUACUGGCAAAGUAGAUCAUCUGAAAGGAUGGCAACCACACAACCUGAUUUCUGUGCUAAGCAAGCUUUAUCAAACCCUUGAAUGCAAUGUAUGAGAUCUGUCCGGCAUAUAAACAAUGCACUUGCUGCAAUAAAAUAAAUCUCUUAAAUAUUCUUAAAGGAUGUAAGAAGAAGAACCUAAAAUAUCAGUCUUUGUGUUGUAUCCAAGUCAUUGGAUUGGAAAUGGUUAGAAAACUAUCAGAUGAUUUUAAUUGCACACUGUCCAAUAGACGUAACAAGACUAGGUACUUAGGUUGGUCAAUAUAACUCAUUUUGUCAUUCUAUCGACUAUAACUAUUAAUUAUGAUUCAUUUCAAUCAUGUUUAUACACAGCAAGCUUGUGCUGAUAAAAGUCCUAUGUCAGCUGAUGGAGCACUUGCAGGUUCAAGUUUGUUUAAGAUCAUCGUGGAGUCACAUUUGAAGGGUACAAACCUUUUCAUUUGAAGUUGCCCUGCCCUCGAAGACAUUGAUAAUUAUGCUUAUAGAGUGUUUCAUCUGUUGUUCUCAUGUUGUGCUACAUACUGACUGCGCUUCUUUUCUUUUACAUAGUUGCUGUUGAUUCUGCAUUUGAGGAUAAUGAUGAUGCUGAAUACUUUCGUGUUUCUGUUUCAACAAUUGGCCUUGUAUGCUCUGAUUGCACGCGUAGCUGCUGACACCACCAUACCCUUGAGCAAUUGUUUUCUGAGUGAUUUGCAUGGCUAAGUCAGGUCUCCUUCUUAGCUUCAUCUUGUGACUUAUCUUGGUUCAAAAUUACCUAUGUGUCCCUGCUAUAAUAGCCUUCUUUCCAUGAUAAUGAUCCCACUCAUACAUUGGAGAAGAUGUAUUGGCUGUUUUCUUAGCUGAAAACAAUGAGAGAAUCUAUCACUAUGGCAUUUCAAUUAAAUAAAUUAAUGUCUGUACAUCAAGAUUACCAGCCAUGUCCUAAUUUAUUCAGGCGAAGGAGAAACACUGCUUGUAGAUAAUUCAAAGCUUCCUUCUUUGUACUUAUGUUUUCAUUUUUUUAUAAACUAUUUGCAGUUCCAUCUACUUCUCAUAGUUUCUGCAAUUUUCAAAUUUGAAUUGUGUUAUAGGCUUUAGUUCUUGUAACAUAUGGUACUCGAUUGAUCAUCGUGUAUAUUGUGUAAACAUAAAAUGAUGCACCGAAUGCACUAUGCUCUUUCCAAUUGUUAAUUGUGUUUUUCUCUAUCCGCUAAGAUAAAAAUCACAACUCUCAAAGUUUUAACAAUUAGUUAUUUUUGUCACAGAUUUCUGAGGCUUUACAUUAUGGAUUCACCAAUGCAGUUGAAGUAGCUCAACAUCCUGUAGUUACAUUUUUUCAUGGUAGUAAUGUUUGCUUAAUGGUGGCUUAAUAGAGCUAGAUGUUUGCUAGAAUACAUUAAACGCCUCAUUUUAUACCUGGUAAUGUAUGUGUCAUCGCAUGUUCAUACAAAUGUAGUGUGCUAAUGAGUUCACAUGUCAUGGAGCUGACAAAAACGACUGCCAGAUGAGUGUGUCCUACCCUGGCCUGACCAGUACAUAGUAGAAGGACAGUACAUGACAUAUAUAGGAAAGUGAAAGAGGCGCAUCCCACCCGGUACCGCCCCAACUUCCUCUCAGGCGGCGCAUGUAUACACUAGGAAAUAUGGCCGUGCGUUGCAACGGGAGAAAAAUAAUAUCUCAGC